GACGGAGGGUGCAAGCGUUGUUCGGAAUUACUGGGCGUAAAGCGCGGGCAGGUGGCCUUUUAAGUCCUUUGUGAAAUUCCGGAGCUCAACUCCGGAUGUGCAUAGGAUACUGGAAGGCUAGAGACUGGUAGAGGCGAGCGGAAUUCCUGGUGUAGCGGUGGAAUGCGCAGAUAUCAGGAGGAACACCAAUUGCGAAGGCAGCUCGCUGGGACGUUACUGACGCUGAGACGCGAAAGCGUGGGGAGCAAACAGG
rnacentral:rRNA from 1 species